AUUGAACGCUGGCGGCAGGCCUAACACAUGCAAGUCGGACGGUAGCACAGAGGAGCUUGCUCCUCGGGUGACGAGUGGCGGACGGGUGAGUAAUGUCUGGGGAUCUGCCCGAUAGAGGGGGAUAACCACUGGAAACGGUGGCUAAUACCGCAUAACGUCGCAAGACCAAAGAGGGGGACCUUCGGGCCUCUCACUAUCGGAUGAACCCAGAUGGGAUUAGCUAGUAGGCGGGGUAAUGGCCCGCCUAGGCGACGAUCCCUAGCUGGUCUGAGAGGAUGACCAGCCACACUGGAACUGAGACACGGUCCAGACUCCUACGGAAGGCAGCAGUGGGGAAUAUUGCACAAUGGGCGCAAGCCUGAUGCAGCCAUGCCGCGUGUAUGAAGAAGGCCUUCGGGUUGUAAAGUACUUUCAGCGGGGAGGAAGGCGGCGCGGUUAAUAACCGCGCCGAUUGACGUUACCCGCAGAAGAAGCACCGGCUAACUCCGUGCCAGCAGCCGCGGUAAGAC
rnacentral:rRNA from 1 species